rnacentral:lncRNA from 1 species
AUGUCUACUAUUGGUACUAAUUUGGUCUCUAACUUUCAGGAGGUCAUGCUGAUCUUCUGGUAUGCUGCUGGACUAUCGGUGCAUGAUGCUGCUUUACCCGGUUCUGAUGUCUGGAAUUUAUUGAAGGAAUGUUCUCUAGAUUCCAUCCUGCUGGAAAUGCUCUCUACUAAGAUGCGCUACUGCUCAUCACACCCCAGCUGGGUUCUUGUCCCUUAAUGCCAUGUAUUCCAGAAGAAUCAAGGAAAAUAUUGAAUUAUAUGGAUCCUGGCAUGUCAGUGUUUGAGUUGAUUUGCUGCAUUAUUGGGCUCUGUGCCCUUGAAUUAAAUGUAAAGUGAAAUAAAUGUUUAUUCAAAGUGCCUUUUUUGUCUGUUAUGUCUGACUGCUGGGUUUCAUUAUAAGGCAGUUGCCUGCCAAACUCU